AUGGCGAACCUCGGGUCAUUAGCCUCACUCCCCGCCAUUGUCGUCGUGGUCGAAGUCGCUAUCUUCUCGUCGUUCGCGGCCGCGCAGCUGCGGCCGGACUACUAUGCCAGCGUCUGCCCCAACCUGGAGGGCAUUGUCCGGUACUCCGUGAAGCAGUCCAUGGUCAAGUCCCCCAUCUCCGCGCCCACCACCCUCAGGCUCUUCUUCCACGACUGCGCCGUCAUGGGCUGCGACGCAUCGGUCAUGAUCAUCAGCCCAACCGGCGACGACGAAUGGCGGAACCACGACGACUACUCGCUGAAGCCGGAGGGCUUCCAGACGAUCCUGGACGCCAAGGCUGCCGUGGACAGCGACCCUCAGUGCCGUUACAAGGUGUCUUGCGCCGACAUAAUCGCCCUCGCCGCAAGAGAGUCCGUCUCCCAGAGCGGAGGGCCCAACUACACAGUGGAGUUGGGAAGGUACGAUGGGAAGAUCUCGACAAGGAACAGCGUCAUGCUGCCGCACGUCGACGACAACCUUGACAGCCUCAAUGCCUUCUUCUAUACCCUAGGCCUCUCCCAGAUCGACAUGAUCGCAUUAUCAGUGUUGACAAAAGCAGUUCAAGGGGUCGAUCCGUCGAUGCAUUCCAUGGCAAAACUCGCCGCCGUCGUCGUCGUCCAAGUGGCUGUCAUCUCACCGUUCGCGGCCGCGCAGCUGCGGGCGGACUACUACGCCGGGGUCUGCCCCAGCCUGGAGGCCAUUGUCCGGAGUUCCGUGAAGCAGUCUAUGGUGAAGUCCCCCAUCUCCGCGCCCGCCACCCUCCGGCUCUUCUUCCACGACUGCGCCGCCACGGGCUGUGACGCAUCGGUCAUGAUCAUCAGCUCCACCGGAGACGACGAGAACGCCAACGACUACACGCUGAAGCUGGAGGGGUUCCAGACGAUCCUGGACGCCAAGGCCGCCGUGGACAGUGACCCGCAGUGCCGUUACAAGGUGUCCUGCGCUGACAUAAUCGCCCUUGCCACAAGAGAGUCCGUCUCCCAGAGCGGAGGGCCGAACUACACAGUGGAGCUGGGCAGGUAUGACAGGAGGAAGUCGAUGGACAGAAGUGUCAGGCUGCCGCACCCCGGCGACAACCUCGACAACCUCAACGCCUUCUUCUCAACCUUGGGCCUCUCCCAGACCGACAUGAUCGCACUAUCAGGUGGCCACACCUUGGGCGCGGCGGACUGCGGCUUCUUCAAGUACAGGAUCGGUGGUAAGGACCAGAGCAUGAACCCGAGCUUCGACGCGCAACUCCAGGGUACAUGUGCCAAACAGAACUUCGCGUUCCUGGACGACGUGACACCGAUAGGGUUCGACAACUUCUACUACCGGAACCUGCAGAACGGCAGGGGCCUCCUGGGGUCCGACCAGGUGCUAUACACGGACGAGAGGUCCCGCGGCACUGUGGACUUCUACGCGGCCAACCAGGGCACGUUCUUCUCCGACUUCGCCGUCGCCAUGACAAAGCUCGGCAGGGUCCGGGUCAAGACGGCCGCUGAUGGCGAGAUACGUCGUGACUGCCGGUACCCGAACUAA
rnacentral:rRNA from 1 species